UUCCCCUAACAAUGGGCAAAGAAACACCUUGUUGGUGGUGGUGUUCUUAUAGCAGUCAGGGGUACAGCAAGUGGCAGUCCUCUGUUCAUCCUAGCUUGAUACCUGAUUUGAGGUCAAAGCUCUUUUGUACCUAGGACAUAUAG